UACGUAGGGUGCAAGCGUUAAUCGGAAUUACUGGGCGUAAAGCGUGCGCAGGCGGCUUUGCAAGUCAGCUGUGAAAUCCCCGGGCUCAACCCGGGAACUGCGUCUGAUACUGGAGGGCUUGAAUCCGGGAGAUGGAUGUGGAAUUCCAGGUGUAGCGGUGAAAUGCGUAGAUAUCUGGAGGAACACCGGUGGCGAAGGCGGCAUCCUGGACCGGUAUUGACGCUGAGGCGCGAAAGCCAGGGGAGCAAACGGG
rnacentral:rRNA from 1 species